GACGUAGGGCGCGAGCGUUGUCCGGAUUUAUUGGGCGUAAAGAGCUCGUAGGCGGCUUGUCGCGUCGUCCGUGAAAACCUGCGGCUCAACUGCAGGCUGGCGGUCGAUACGGGCAGGCUGGAGUUCGGUAGGGGAGACUGGAAUUCCUGGUGUAGCGGUGAAAUGCGCAGAUAUCAGGAGGAACGACCGGUGGCGAAGGCGGGUCUCUGGGCCGAUACUGACGCUGAGGAGCGAAAGCGUGGGGAGCGAACAGG
rnacentral:rRNA from 1 species